GAUCUCCUCGUUCUGAUUCGCUGCCUCUCUCUCUCCCUCCCGCGCCCCCCUCCCUGGAUCCCUGCCCCGCCGCCGCCGUCGCCGCUCGCCCGCGCACCCGUCGCGCCUGCUCGUGGUGCAGCCACGCCUCCGCCGUGGCGCUUGCCUCCCGUGCACACGGCAGGUGCUCCGCCUCUUCCUCCCAUCCGGCCAGAUCUGCGGCGCACGGUCUCUCGCUCUAGCUCGCAACCCUCAGCCGUGGCUUGGGUUUCGGGCUGGGCAUCGCCUUCGUCGACGGCGCGGCUCCGUUGGACUCCGGCGGCUCCUCUCCGUCUCCUUCCUCGCCCCCACACGCGGCUCCACUUCCCGCUGGCCAUGGGGCUGGCCGGCAGCAGCGCCUCCCUCCCUCCCUCCCUGCCGCGGCCGGUCCCGCCGCACGGAGCAGCGCCGCUGACGGGUCCAUCGGCAGGUAGCCCCACCGCUCCUUCCUCCUCCCUCUUCCUUCACCACGACCUCCCUUGUUGCAUCCUCUGUCCAUUCAAUUUCUGUUUUCCUGACUCGUGUCGGACGAGUGGUUGCUGUGGUAGAUUGGGUGUCGUGAGGAUGUAUGCAAUGACGACUGUUUCUGGAUGAGUAGUAGUUGCCGCGUGAUUUUCCCACUACGUGUUCGAGUUCACAUCUGAUGGGAUUUUGCCUGAUAGGUGCCUGUGGUAAUGCUUGCAGGGGCAAAUAUUGGUAACUCGUAGUUUGACUUUUUUCAGAUGAGCUAAUGUACUGCAUGUUAGCAGCAGUGAAAAAUGUUAUACUAACGAUAUAUAUAUUUAAUCUACACUACCUUGACCUGAAAUCAUCGAAGCUUAUAGCAGUAGCGUGCAGUUUGAGAGCAGCAGGAGCUUCGCCUUGGUUGUACUGGCCCAGAUUGGUUGACACAUUGGUUAAUUGUCCAUGUGUACAAUCCUGUUGAUUGUGGAGCAGUAAGGAACAAUAGGGAAUUUUUAUGACCUGGACUUAUCAUGUGUGAAUAAAAUUAGGAACAUACACGUUCUUCAGACCUUGUUGAUCAACAAAAUUAUUGCCAAAAAAGUUGAUACACAUGUUGAUCUGUAGGUUUAUUCGUACAAGGUACUCUUGUGAGUAUUUUCCAUUUUGAAAUUGAAAAUAAGCUGUCAAAACUGAAAUAAAUCGGAGUACUGAAGAUCUGCUUGUACUGCCAUUUUUUUUUGAACUGUGCAGCAAAAGAAAUAGUUGCCAAUCAGUUAGUAGCAUAAUCAUUGACAGGGAGUAUUUAGGACAAUCCAUGAGGUAUACUUAGAUGCAAAAAAAUUCUGUUAGAAGCUGUUCUUUUUUUCUGUGUGCAACUUAGGUAUAUGGGGUUCAGGAAUAUCAUAUGUGCUGAAUUUUACUGUCAAAAUUGGAGAUCGGAUCCAGCUCCAUAAUUUUACUGUAUGAGCCAGCCUGUAUAAUUUUCAGUUUGUAGAGCUCUGUGUUGUUCUAUUUUUCUAUUGUUGAUCAGAUCCAUGUUGUCCUAAAUUGUAAAGUACAGCUACAAGUCUAAACCUGGACAUUUUCAGAAACUGGACAUUUUUAGAACCUGAACAUUUUCAGUUAGUGGCUCAAAAUUGUUCGUAUCUUAACGGGCAUUCUGAUCUGUCUUUUUUGGUAGCUGCGGGUUCAAAAGCGCAGUAAUGAUAUUUGCUUACAGUUACUUCAAGUACUACACUUGGUUUAUCUUUUAGGGGAAAUCAGUUUUGUUUACACUGAAAAUAAUUUGUGUGCUUAUCCCAUUAACUUGAGUGUGUUAUUACAGGUUGCAGGAAUAGCUUUAUAUUAGGAGCAGCUUCUCCACCACCACUCAGCGGUAGAGGAGGUGUGCUUCUUCCCCAACACAACAUAGCGGCAGCCACGGUAUCCUCGGCCCUCUCCCUCUAUCUACCCUCUUCUGUUCCUUACCGAAAAAUCAUUUUUUACCUUGUAUAAUACUUGUGAUUUGGACCGAUUUGUGUUUUGGGGGGCAUCAAUUUGGUGCUUCCCCUGUCCAUGUGCUGCAGAGAAAAGGAGAAGAAGGGGAUGGAUGAGCAAGGACCAGAAGGACCUAAAGAAGAAGGGCAAGGGAGGUGGGGCGAUAUGCAUGUCCAGGGAGGUCCGUCCCCCUCUCCUCCUCUUAUCUUUCCUUGUACUGCAGCAGCCCUUAAUCACCAUAACCACAUUAAUGGCCAAGCACGAGGUGAAAAUACUCUCUUCAUCUCUCAUUUCUGUUAAAUGAAUAGUUACUUGACUUGAUGCUGGCUAGGAUCUAUAUGGGGCUAGGAAAUGUUUUGUCUGACUAUCACCAUGAAUAUGCAAUGUCCAUUAUUUUCUAAAUUUUGUUAGUUCCACUCUGGAAGCACACCUUGCACAAUAAGAUAAAUGCUGCAUGGGGCGCCAUGGCUUGGUUAACUCAUUAAUGUGCUAUUUAUUUUGUGUUUUAGAAACUAAUUCAUAUGGAGAGCCUUUUUGCUCGGUCAAAUCUGAGUUAUGGUGGUAGCUGUAGCUGAAAGGUUAACUCAAUAAUUUCUGAAAUGCAUAAUUAAUACUUGCAUUACAU
rnacentral:lncRNA from 1 species